rnacentral:rRNA from 1 species
GGGAAUGCUGCAGCCUACCAUGCAAGUCGAGCGGUAGCACAGAGAGCUUGCUCUCGGGUGACGAGCGGCGGACGGGUGAGUAAUGUCUGGGAAACUGCCUGAUGGAGGGGGAUAACUACUGGAAACGGUAGCUAAUACCGCAUAACGUCGCAAGACCAAAGUGGGGGACCUUCGGGCCUCAUGCCAUCAGAUGUGCCCAGAUGGGAUUAGCUAGUAGGUGGGGUAACGGCUCACCUAGGCGACGAUCCCUAGCUGGUCUGAGAGGAUGACCAGCCACACUGGAACUGAGACACGGUCCAGACUCCUACGGGAGGCAGCAGUGGGGAAUAUUGCACAAUGGGCGCAAGCCUGAUGCAGCCAUGCCGCGUGUGUGAAGAAGGCCUUCGGGUUCAAAGCACUUUCAGCGGGGAGGAAGGCGAUAAGGUUAAUAACCUUGUCGAUUGACGUUACCCGCAGAAGAAACACCGGCUAACUCCGUGUCAUUAGCCGCGGUAAUACGGAGGGCGUCCGCGUUUAUCGGAAUGACUGAGCGUAAAGCGCACUCGGGUGGUCUGACAAGUCGGAUGUAAAAUCCCAGUCCUCUCCAUCGGAACAGUACACUAAACUGAUAGGUCUAGAUCCGCCGUAGACGUUUCAAUACACUGCUGCAGCUUCAAUCUCAUCUCUAGAGCUUAGGCCGGAAUCGGGGGCUGCUGUUCCAUCUUCGCCAUGGCCUUAGUAUUAGAAGGACAACCGACUCCACCAUGGUUACAAGUUAAAAGCAAUGAUCCAUAAAUCAAGAUAUACAGUGAUCACCGACCUUGUAAGCUUUCAUGAAUAUACCAGCAGACUGACUGAACAUCUAGUCGUCAGUCGAACUACUGUUAAUCUCGUUCAUGAUGUUGCUCAUGUCACUCAUGACGUUGAUUCCCAAAAUUCCCUCAAGACACUCUUUCAAUCUAUCGUAUCACAUGGAUACUCUCGAUCACUGUCUACGAUAAUCUCGAGAUUACUGCCAAUUUACUGCGGAUUUCCUCUAUUAUGCACAGAUUUGUUGGCUU